AGUGAACGCUGGCGGUAUGCCUAACACAUGCAAGUCGAACGGCAGCACAGGAAGAUCUUGCUCGUACGGGUGGCGAGUGACGGACGGGUGAGGAAUACAUCGGAAUCUACUUUUUCGUGGGGGAUAACGUAGGGAAACUUACGCUAAUACAUCAUACGACGAACGGGAUAAAUCAGGGAGGCUUCGAGCCUUGCGCUAUUGCAUGAGCCGAUGUCGGAUUAGCUAGUUGGCGGGGUAAAGGCCCACCAAGGCGACGAUCCGUAGCUGGUCUGAGAGGAUGAUCAGCCACACUGGAACUGAGACACGGCCCAGACUCCUACGGGAGGCAGCAGUAGGGAAUCUUGGACAAUGGGCGCAAGCCUGACCCAGCAACGCCGCGUGAGUGAAGAAGGCCUUCGGGUUGUAAAGCCCUUUUGUUGGGAAAGAACAGCAGCAGGUUAAUCCCCCGCUGUUCUGACGGUACCCAAAGAAUAAGCACCGGCUAACUUCGUG
rnacentral:rRNA from 1 species